UUUUUAAUAUCAAGAUAUCCGCUUGCCAGCAUCAAACACUAGCAAACAAGCUAGAGAGAAUAAUUAUAUAAAUUUUGAACCACCGACCAGAGGUGUUCCGAAAUACUUUUUUUUACUGAUCUCAACUACAAAUAAGCACACAAGGCAAGCUUUAACUUCGAAAGAAAGUUUGACCAGUAAUAAAUCAGACAGUUUGAAUUUCCACGAAUCUACCAUGGGUAUCUCUAUGAGCAAUCAGUGUCGUAUAAACAUUAUUCAAGUGCUCCGUUGGUUCAAAGCGGUGAUGCAAGAAGACGAGAUAUUCCAGAUGAAGGAGCGAAACCCUUACUCGAAACUUACAAAGAUUGUUCAUCACCUGAUAACAGAAUCUGAAUACGAAAGACGAAGAAUGCGGAAAGAAAAGGUUAAAGAAACAUAGAUUAGAACGUACGCGCGGUACGUGCAAAAAUAAAUAUAGGUAAAUAAAAAUAAUCUCCAAAUUUUGCAACUAUAAAAGUUAUUAUUCUUUCAAGGCGGAUUUGCAUGAAUCCUUAAUAAGAGAUUAAAGUUUCUUAUAUCACAGAACUGUCGGAAGGAGCAACGUUUCCCACGUUACCGAUAAUAAUUACAGUUCCAAUAUUAUGUCAUAUCCUUUCUGUCAUAUUUUUCCACGGCGCGAAUACACCCUUUAUGUGCAUGUAUAUUGCCUUCUUGUAAACAUCCAUAUUUUAGAAACUCGUAUUGCAUACACAAUAGCCGUCGUUACUGUAAAUCUAAUACCGAUCGAUUAAUCAAAGUACGCGUUUUUAUCCAUCGAUAAAUUUAUCUUUACGCUAAUAUCAAAAUUAAGGCUUACAAAUUUUUUGUUAAUAUUCUCUGCAAUUAUUUUUCUUAUUAAACUCUAAAUCACCUUAAUAUAACUCUAAAAGAAUCACUAUAUUCUCUACAUAGACGCAUUCCCCUGAUUUAUUCUUCUUUCCUUCUAUCAUUCUUCUAUCUUUCCGUUUUACAAUGUCAAAAUAUCUCGAAUCCAUAUUCCUGGGUAAUCUUAUCAACCUCAUAAAGUGUUUAUAUCGCGUUUGUAUUAUACGAUCGAUCAAACGCAACUAUCUGCACGUCGCGUCUUGAAAGCGACUUCGCCAUCCCAUUUCGUUAACAUUUUUACUGGUUGCAGCAACAGCAAGACUAUUUCAUCCUUCCCUCUAGAAAUUCCGCGAACACAGGCAGCUACAGCAGCGGAUGCCAACCUUUUCUACGUUUUACUCAUACGUUUUCAUCGCCGUAUCUCGCCAGGACUGCGCACGCUUCCGAUUUUUUCUAUCGGUGGCUCUAACCGUACAUCCUCUCGUUUCCGGCUGCUCGUAGAUCAACGAAUACUGGAUUCCAUUGCUAGCUCUGUUACGACAUCGCGUGCAUCGGCCUGAUCUAACACACUUCAAAGCUACACCCUCGUGUACUCUAUACGUACUUACUACGUGAAUACUUUGACUAGAAAUUCACAAUCUGCUCGGUGGUUGGGUUGAUUUAUACCGAAGAACGGAUGUACAUGAGAGUAUCAAACGUACAAGAACCGUGUACACCGGAUGCGUAUUUCAGAGAACGAAAAGUAAAAUCGUAGACGCGAGACAAAUAGAAAGGUGGAAUAUAAAACGGAGUGAACGGCAAAAUUUGAUGGGGAAAUUUUACGACAUGGAUGACGCUUUGAAUCGUGGCAGAGAUAUACGGCAACAAUGUCGGUAUCGACAACCGCGAAACUUUGUGAAGCCGGCAUGCAAAAUGACCAACAAAAUUGCUUUAAUCUCGCCCCUUUCUUUUUCCUUUACCGAAACACGCUGCGAUACAGCAACUAAGUUUUUAGUUCCCUCUAUGAGCUACUGAGCACAUUCGUUCACUCAAGACAAAAGAGUUUCAAGGCGUAUCAUUGAAAGAUAAAGCGGCGUGCCACGCUGAAAAGGGAGCCACACAUGAAACGAAAGAAUGGCACUUUGCACAGCAAAAUGGGACGAGUACGAGACCAUGAAUAUUUCCAGUAGGGUUGGUUUGGUAGGAUUUAUCACGAAUUUCUACUACAUAUCGAAAUUCUAAGUUUGGAAAAAUACCAGUUCUGUUUCGAAAGAGGAACUGAAAUCGAUUAACGUUAGCCAUUUAAACCAUUCAAUCGAAUAUUUGUGAAAAAUAAUUGGUAAUUGGUCAUGGAAUAAUUCGGUGGUACGCAAAUGUUUCGAAGCAACGACGAACUAUGUAAACGAUUCAAAGUAUAUCGUUCUGAGCCGAAGUCUUGAUCAGGUAAAUUGGGGUUAGGUUGGUGUCCAUUCCGGAUUUUGGAAACUUACCAUUAAAAACACUGAAACUUAAAAUUGUCUGAAGUUCGUUAUACGUAUAAUAAUAAAAAUAUGUAAUAUUAUGGUUUAAUGAAUAUGUAAGUAAGAAUUAGUUCUUAAUUGUAAUAAGUCAGGUGUAAGUAUCUUUUAACAAAUAAGUCUCACAAAUAUUUCCUAUUAUUUUUUUCAAAAUUAAAUUAUUAUAUACGCAUGAUUUUACUGCAAGUUCUACACCGUGUCUGCUCCGAAACGUUUAUGGAAAGAUGAAGGAUUCAAAUAAGAUACUGAAUGAAGAAGUUUAGUCGAAUUUAUGACCUUAAUCAAAACUAUUUAACUUGCUUUUGAUGCAGUUAUAACAAAAACGUGGAAGUUAUUAAUGAUUCAGGAGAAAAUUGGUAUGUACUAAUACACAGAAGCAGAACUUUCUAGUGAAGAUCAAGAACCUCAUAAAUUGCGAAUAAAGUUAAUUGGGCGGAAAACUGCGUCCUACAAUUGGCUCUUAAGAAAUUGCUGAAUGCUUUGUCUGAUUCAUUAUGCGAGAAUUUAAUAUCUCUUUAGAUAUAUUCUAUAUAUAAAGAACCUUCAUGAUUAUAAAAACCAUCACCAUUUCAUUAAAAGUAAAUCAAAAACCGAAAAAUGUAUAUAAUUCGCUUCUCUACAUCACAUAAAAUAUUCCUCUUUUGUUUAAAAUAAAAUUUUAACAAAAUUAAAACCAACGACUGGAAUGAAACUGAAACUCGCUAACGUUAAAAUAAUUAACUUUAAUACCAUAUUUUUAUCUUUCUACACGCACGCACAAAUACAUAAAUAUGUACCUACACUGAAUAUUAUUAUUCAACGCACACUUUUAUACAUCUACAAACGUAUGACGUACAUUCUCGUAAAAGCGGAAACCCACGUUUGUAUCUACACCUCUAUGCGCAUACAUAUCCUUAAAUAGUAGUCAAGCCGAUCCUCAAGAGUUCAUUAUAAACGCCAGCCAACCAACCGACCUUUCCUCUUAACUCGGAAACUCACUUUACCACAGCCAUAUAGGCGCUACUUCGCGAUUUUCUGAAUUACUAAAUAAAAAAAAGUCAUUUAAUUUCGCGUGUAAAAUUUACAGACAGACUCGUUGAAAUGCCCCGGCUACGCUAGCAAACUAUCCCUAAUUUCAAGAAUCAUUUGCUCAUUUUUUUUUCAACUUACUCCUGAAUUUCAUAUAACCUGGUUAAAGCAUUGUGGAAUAUUAAUCAAUUAAUGGGAAAUGGAAAAUUAAUGGAAAAUAUCAAGAAAUGUUUAAAAGUUAAUCAAACAUUUGAACAUAUGAGUUUUCACAUAAGAAAUGAAAUAUGUAUCUUGUAAAAUAUUGAUUUUUCAAUGACUAUUCACGAAUGACGGUGAUUUUUCCUAAUCUCCUAAUCUCGUUUAAAAGAGGUAGCUUAGCUAAGUUGAUAGAAUUAUCAUGUAUACAUAUUUAUAAUAAUUUGCAAACCUUACAGAUUUAGACGAGCGUAUGCAUUUCAGAAUGUGUUGUGGGACACACAUGAAUGAGCUCAAGAGGGAGGAAGUAUAUAUUUAAAUUGAAGUAAAAUAAGUAUCCGUGAAGCGGUACACAUAUUUAUGUUGCGAUAAAAAAUAUCGCUGUUGAAACGACCGUGCAACGCGCUUUUUUUAUAAAUAAAUGUUAUAGAGAGGAUAUAGAUGCUUGGGUUGAAAUUAAAGGUUUAUGGGGAAAUAAAUCUAAACUAAGUGGGACAGUUUUUUGGGAAUUAAAUGCAUCGCCUUUUAUAACAUCCUAUGACAUACGUAUAAUGUUUAUUAGCAUUGUAGGUAAUAAAAAUUUGUGUCCGAAGUGAGCAUAUUUUAAAUAGAUGAAUUUUCGCAUAGCAUAAUAUGUAUCAAGAAAAAGUUCUUUACAAAUUAAUGGGCAAAAAUAUACAAUAUGUAAUUAUUACUCGGUAAGCAUAAAACAAUAUAUAGCGCACAGAAACUUCGCUAACGAGUCUCCUCGCAGAAAUUUAUUAUAAUUACGUAGGAGAGUUGGAAACGCCUGUUUCUGAUGUAUAGAACUUCAUUUUAGGUCCAUUAAAGGAUGGCAUGGAAACGGAAUUACGAAAGUGUCGUUUUUGUUACCAUAUUGCACCGAAAACUUUUUCCAUUAAUAUUACGAACCCUUAUAUUGUACUCUAUGCCAAUAAAUCGACCCUCGUGAACAAAUUUAGGGGAUGCCCAAACAAUAAAUGGGGUGGUGCAAAAGCAAAUACAAGUGAUCUUUUUCUGCCACCAGCUACAUAGUGAUGCUGUGUCUGUG